AAACUUAAAUGAAUUGACGGGGGCCCGCACAAGCAGUGGAGUAUGUGGUUUAAUUCGAAGCAACGCGAAGAACCUUACCAAGGCUUGACAUAAUAGUGAAUAUGGCAGAGAUGUCAUAGUCCUUCGGACACUAUUACAGGUGGUGCAUGGUUGUCGUCAGCUCGUGUCGUGAGAUGUUGGGUUAAGUCCCGCAACGAGCGCAACCCUGUUGUUAGUUGAUAACAUUAAGAUGAUCACUCUAACGAGACUGCCGGUGAUAAAUCGGAGGAAGGUGGGGACGACGUCAAAUCAUCAUGCCCCUUAUGUCUUGGGCUACACACGUACUACAAUGGCUAUUACAAUGAGAAGCAAAGCUGUAAAGUGGAGCAAAUCUAUAAAAAUAGUCUCAGUUCAGAUUGUGGGCUGCAACCCGCCCACAUGAAGUCGGAAUUGCUAGUAAUGGCAGGUCAGCAUACUGCCGUGAAUACGUUCCCGGGCCUUGUACACACCGCCCGUCACACCAUGAGAGUCUGCAACACCCGAAGUCGAUAGUCUAACCGCAAGGAGGACGUCGCCGAAGGUGGGGCCGAUGAUUGGGGU
rnacentral:rRNA from 1 species